UACGGGGGGGAGCAAGCGUUGUUCGGAUUUACUGGGCGUAAAGGGCGCGUAGGCGGCGCAACAAGUCACUUGUGAAAUCUCCGGGCUUAACCCGGAGCGGCCAAGUGGUACUGUCGUGCUAGAGUGCGGAAGGGGCUACUGGAAUUCUCGGUGUAGCGGUGAAAUGCGUAGAUAUCGAGAGGAACACCUGCGGCGAAGGCGGGUAGCUGGGCCGACACUGACGCUGAGGCGCGAAAGCCAGGGGAGCGAACGGG
rnacentral:rRNA from 1 species